AUUAUCUUUUCUAGAUUAUAUAAAUGUAUCAGAAGAUGACCAGAAAUUAAGAGAGACAGUGAAAGUGUACGUAUGUAUAGAAAUGAGGGAUGGGCUGGUCCAGUUCCCUGAUGAGAUACAGGCUUUUUUAGAGGACUUGAACAUCCACUGUCUUCUGAUGGAGCUUUGGAUACUAAAUGCUUCUUAAAAUUGGGCCGAUAAUGCUUUACUUGAACCAGAAUGGAGUCUUCAGUCCAAUGUUAGAUCUUUCCACAAGCCUGGAAUGCUUCAAAGGCUCCACAGUGCCCUUGUGGCUAAGACAAAUGAAUUAUGAGCUACAAAGUCCAGUCUCAUCCUGCUCUGCUUAGAAGGAUUGUGGAUUCCACGAUAUGAAGACUAAAGGGAGGGUGAAACAGAAGGCUUUUCAGGGCUCUAAGUGCCAGAGAAUAUCUCCACCCAAAGAGAAAUGAGAAUGGAUAUUUGUAGAUAUAAGGCCAGAAGGGACCACUGUGGUCCUCUAACGUGACAUCCUGCAUAACACAGACCAUAAAACUUUCCUAAAUUAAUUAUUAUUUGAACUAGUGCAUAUCUUUUAGAAAAACAUCCAAUCUUGGUUUUAAAAUGGUCAGUGAUAGAGAAUCUACUACAACCCUUGGUUAAAAUGUAGUCCAUUACUGACUGCCACAUUUUGUUGCCAUCUUUUCAGUUAUCCUUUGAUAUCCUGUACAAUUGUAAUAGUAAAAUAAUAAUCAUUUUUCCUAUUGCAGAAUUGCAGGAAAAGAAGUAACUGCAAAGGCCAUUUACUUUCUUACCUUUGGACUCUACUUGGUUAAAAGCUUUACCCAGCAACGAUUAGAUAUAGUAGGAGUGACCUACAACAGCAAGACUAGAAGACUGAUCCUCGUGGAUGGCAAAGGGUUGUUCAGCUUGGAUUUAUUUGCUUCUAAGACUGUAGUUAAAAGGGAAAUGGAUUUUCACAAGUACCAAUUCAACAUAAUGAGAAGCAUCACUUACUGUGAAAAAUUCAAUGUUUACUUUGUACUGAGAAGAGACUAUGCACUUAAGGUGUAUAAUAAGGAUUAUGAAGAGAUCUGCUCAGUAGAGAACGUGGAGUCAUGUCUGUUGACACUUAUGGUAUUCAAUCCUGUGAGCGAUGAACUCAUUACAGGAGGACUCAAAGGCAUAAAGUUCUGGAAGUUUAAAGAAACAGAGAGUACAGAUUACUCUGAUGCAGUUCACAUGUCCAAUUACAAGCUAUUCCCCAGUGCAGAAUUCCCACACAUGAGGCAAAUCUGGUGUACAAAUAUGGAGUUUGAUGUCAAUAUGCAAAGACUUUAUUGCUUUUCUAAUUGCGAUCUCUUCUGCUAUGAUACCAAAGGGAAUAUACUGUUUCAGCUAACCAAUGCCCACCGAAGUACCAUUCUCUCCUGCGUCUAUUCAUCAUACUCCAAUGCUUUGCUUACCUCCUCCAGGGACUCUGAAAUAAAAUCUUGGAAUGACCAGGGCUGUUUGUUGCAUGUGUUUCAUGGCCAUACGAGGUCUGUCACACACCUCCUCCUCCAUCCAAACACUUUGUCUUUAUUUAUCUCUGGAUCUUUGGAUGGGACAGUGAAACUCUGGUCCCUGGAUACAAUGGAGCUGUUUUACAGUUUAUCGUUGUUCACUGAAGGAAUUGUUUGGAUGGGCCUGACUGAGGAUAAGUUGCUGUACUGCUCUUCUGCCCGCAAUCUUCAUGUGUAUGACUUGAACUGUUUUACCAAAUUCUGGACUCAUGUCAGCAGUCAGAUUAAAGCUCUGUCCCUCUGUGGUGCCAAUGGGAAAUCCAGCAGGGUGGUAGCUAUGGGUUCUGAUAACAGUUUACGAAUUUUCUCUCUGCAUAAUGGGACAAAGUUAUGUACCGUGCUGCCGCCUCCCUAUCCUUCUCCGCUCCAGUCAGUUCUCAGCUUUGCCUAUAAUCGAACCAAUGGAACAAUUUACUUCCUCCUGACUUCUUGGGAUAUAUGGGUCUACACAGCGAGGUACUACAUCCAUUUUGCUAAGCAUUUACUGCUUUCUAGCCUGUCUUUAUUGCCUACUUUUCUCACUCUGUUGUAUUUGGAUUUUUUGUUUGUUUUUCUUUUCAUUACAAUAGAUGGGUAGGAUGUUUUGGUAUUAGAUGAAGACAGAGUGUAUUCUUGAAAAUGUUCAAAGUGUUCUACAAAUCUUGAUAUUAAUGAAUAUUGGG
rnacentral:lncRNA from 1 species